GGGCGCGGUUUCGAGAGACGCGGGGCGGCUACCCUCGUUCACGCGCUCGACGCCACUCCGCCGGCGCGGCUUCUCCUUCGUGCGGAGGCAUUUGGGAACAAAUGCAAAAGCCGGCCGAAUAUCCCAGGCUCGCGCGGGAAUAGACUACCUGAAAGGGAAAAACACACCUGGGUCGGGAGGCGGAGCAGAGGAGGGGCAGACCGCGUUCGGGA
rnacentral:sRNA from 1 species